ACGCACGCUGGCGGCGCGCUUAACCCCUGCCAGUCGCACGGAAAGGCCUGCUUUCCCUUGUGGAUUGCGGGUACUCGAGUGGCGAACGGGUGAGUAACACGUGAGUGAUCUGCCCCCAACUUGGGUAUAAGCCUGGGAAACUGGGUCUAAUUCCCGAUAGGACUGCAGGGUGGUGCCUGUGGUGGAAAACGAUUUUCUAGUGGUUGGGGAUGAGCUCGCGGCCUAUCAGCUUGUUGGUGGGGUAAUGGCCUACCAAGGCGGCGACGGGUAGCCGGCCUGAGAGGGUGGACGGCCACAUUGGGACUGAGAUACGGCCCAGACUCCUACGGGAGGCAGCAGUGGGGAAUAUUGCACAAUGGGCGGAAGCCUGAUGCAGCGACGCCGCGUGGGGGAUGACGGCCUUCGGGUUGUAAACUCCUUUCGACCGCGAGGAAGCCACCUGGUUGGAAGGGUGGUGACGGUAGUGGUAGAAGAAGCACCGGCUAACUACGUG
rnacentral:rRNA from 1 species